rnacentral:rRNA from 1 species
GACGAACGCUGGCGGCGUGCUUAACACAUGCAAGUCGAGCGGUAAGGCCCUUCGGGGUACACGAGCGGCGAACGGGUGAGUAACACGUGAGCAACCUGCCCCUGACUCCGGGAUAAGCGGUGGAAACGCCGUCUAAUACCGGAUACGACCCACCACCUCAUGGUGGAGGGUGGAAAGUUUUUCGGUCAGGGAUGGGCUCGCGGCCUAUCAGCUUGUUGGUGGGGUAACGGCCUACCAAGGCGAUUACGGGUAGCCGGCCUGAGAGGGCGACCGGCCACACUGGGACUGAGACACGGCCCAGACUCCUGCGGGAGGCAGCAGUGGGGAAUAUUGCGCAAUGGGCGAAAGCCUGACGCAGCGACGCCGCGUGGGGGAUGACGGCCUUCGGGUUGUAAACCUCUUUUACCACCAACGCAGGCUCCGGGUUCUCCCGGGGUUGACGGUAGGUGGGGAAUAAGGACCGGCUAACUACGUGCCAGCAGCCGCGGUAAUACGUAGGGUCCGAGCGUUGUCCGGAAUUAUUGGGCGUAAAGAGCUCGUAGGCGGCGUGUCGCGUCUGCUGUGAAAGACCGGGGCUUAACUCCGGUUCUGCAGUGGAUACGGGCAUGCUAGAGGUAGGUAGGGGAGACUGGAAUUCCUGGUGUAGCGGUGAAAUGCGCAGAUAUCAGGAGGAACACCGGUGGCGAAGGCGGGUCUCUGGGCCUUACCUGACGCUGAGGAGCGAAAGCAUGGGGAGCGAACAGGAUUAGAUACCCUGCUAGUCCAUGCCGUAAACGUUGGGCGCUAGGUGUGGGGACUUUCCACGGUUUCCGCGCCGUAGCUAACGCAUUAAGCGCCCCGCCUGGGAGUACAGCCGCAAGGCUAAAACUCAAAGGAAUUGACGGGGGCCCGCACAAGCGGCGGAGCAUGUUGCU